UACGUAGGGUGCAAGCGUUGUCCGGAAUUAUUGGGCGUAAAGAGCUCGUAGGCGGUUUGUCGCGUCGGCUGUGAAAACUCGGGGCUCAACCCCGAGCCUGCAGUCGAUACGGGCAGACUAGAGUCCAGUAGGGGAGUGUGGAAUUCCCAGUGUAGCGGUGAAAUGCGCAGAUAUUGGGAGGAACACCAGCGGCGAAGGCGGCACUCUGGGCUGGUACUGACGCUGAGGAGCGAAAGCGUGGGUAGCGAACAGG
rnacentral:rRNA from 1 species